rnacentral:snoRNA from 1 species
AUCCCAAAUAAGCUGAGUUAAUUCAAAGUGCUUAUUUGAUUCAUGGGAGGCCUAAAUCAAUUGGAGGUUUCGCUGAUAAUGCCUUUUCUACUUUUUCAAGGAGGCGUUUACUAGUAACUAUCCAUACAUAC